rnacentral:rRNA from 1 species
GUGACUUUCAAAGUUUAACGGCCGCGGUAUUUUGACCGUGCAAAGGUAGCGCAAUCACUUGUCUUUUAAAUGGAGACCUGUAUGAAUGGCAUCACGAGGGCUUAACUGUCUCCUUUCUCAAGCCAAUGAAAUUGAUCUCCCCGUGCAGAAGCGGGGAUAAGAACAUAAGACGAGAAGACCCUAUGGAGCUUUAGACACCAAGACAGUUUACGUCAAGAACCUCCCGACAAAGAACUGAACUACAUAAAGCCCUGUCCUAAUGUCUUCGGUUGGGGCGACCCUGGGGAGACAAAUAACCCCCACGAGGACUGGAGAGAUAUUCUCCAAAACCAAGAGCAACAACUCUAAGAAGCAGACACUUCUGACCAACGAGAUCCGGCAACGCCGAUCAACGGACCGAGUUACCCUAGGGAUAACAGCGCAAUCCCCUUCUAGAGCCCUUAUCGACAAGGGGGUUUACGACCUCGAUGUUGGAUCAGGACUUCCUAAUGGUGCAGCCGCUA